CCCCCUCCACGCAUGCGCCGUCGUUACUGUGUGACGUGUCGCGCUGCUCCUUGGGAAAUGUAGUUUUUACUUUGUCACCCUAGUCCGGAGUCCGCCACUGAACCUUAUUUUAACAAACUAGGGUCCUUGUGUGUCUUCCGUGGCCUCUCAUUCUCCAGAGCCUCCAUAAGAUAAUAAAAAAAAUUGUUGUGAAACCCCACAUUGCUCCAAAAGAUAAAUUCUAUUUAAAAAAAAAGUUCUAAUAAAUUAAACAGAUCUGUGGACCCAGAAAUAAUACUUUUAAGGAGUCUUCUCCGGAACGUUUUAAGGAAAGAACAAUCACUGUGCGAUCUUUCUUCAUGGACACCCACAUUGUAGUUAUUUGGACUGUGAUGAUGGACAUCUAAAUCGCCUCCAACUACUGGCUACAACAGACAACGACACAGUGAACUGCCUCAUGCCUGCCCUCUUGUGGCCAACGUGAGGAUUUUUCUGGGAAGUAUAGCUACCCAGUGAGACUGGUCAGAGCCCGCCCCUUGAGUUGUCUGCCCUCACACAUUCUGGCCAGAGAACUCGUCUUAAAACACAAAGAGUUCCACUGCUGAGGACAAUCAGUGCUCACACCUCUUCCUCCUCAUUGCUUUCUUCCUGCUCAGAACUGACUCCGUGCAUGGGGGCUUCCGGCACCUUCUAUGGAAAGAAACCGUCACCGGAAAUUACAAGGUGAUACCAUCUGCCCAGUUUUUUGACCUACAGCUGGACGUUAAAGACCUCUGUUUACCCCGCCGAGAACGAGCCAGAGGACCCAGCAGAGAAGGUAAGCCGUGAACACGGAAGUGACAGCACCGGACAUCAGACACCACGGCCUCAGUGGGAAAUGGCUCUGAAACUUGAAGAGACAAGGCUUUUCACUAGAGGUGUUCACUGGGUGCCCUGGCAUACUAAGGGCUACGGCGUUGGCUGGGACAGAGAGGCGUAUUGUGCUACUGACAUGGUUGAGAAGUGAUGGUCAUAAUAAAAAGUAGAUGAUUUUGCUCAGUACACAGACAACGACCCCUUUAGUGUCAGACUGCUGACACUGCCCCCUUCCACCACGGACAAAGCAACCCCUUAAAAUCCCUUCCAGAUCUGGAGCACCUGGGUGGCUCAGUUGGUUG